GAUGAACGCUGGCGGCGUGCCUAAUACAUGCAAGUCGAACGAGGUGGAAGGAGCUUGCUCCGGAAACCUAGUGGCGAACGGGUGAGUAACACGUAGGUAACCUGCCUUUUAGUUGGGGAUACCCGAGAGAAAUCUUGGCUAAUACCGAAUAUUGUGUUCCAGAGGCAUCUCUGGAAUAUGAAAGGGGCUUAUGCCUCGCUAAUUGAUGGACCUGCGGCGCAUUAGCUAGUUGGUGAGAUAACAGCCCACCAAGGCGAGGAUGCGUAGCCGACCUGAGAGGGUGAUCGGCCACACUGGAACUGAGACACGGUCCAGACUCCUACGGGAGGCAGCAGUAGGGAGUUUUCGGCAAUGGGCGAAAGCCUGACCGAGCAACGCCGCGUGAGUGACGAAGGUCUUCGGAUUGUAAAGCUCUGUUGUAAGGGAGGAACGGUAGUUAUAGGAAAUGAUAGCUAUUUGACGGUACCUUAUUAGAAAGCCACGGCUAACUACGUGCCAGCAGCCGCGGUAAAAC
rnacentral:rRNA from 1 species